GUAUUGCUGUAGUACCUGUGAACAGUACCAGCAUUAGAAAGUUUAAUGUUUCUACUUUCUGUCCUCAAAAUAAGCUACAAGAUAUUUGACUAAUAUGCUUUCAAGGGGAAGAGAGAUGGGGACUCUCAUACCAGUGGGGGAAAAGCUUACCAAGAGAUGAGAAAAUGGUUGCAUUAUCUCUGAAAAAAAGAAAAUAUGUCUUGUAACAAUGCAAGGUUCUCCAGGAAAAUCAACAGUUACAAAAUAAUGUAUUUACACUUCCCUGCUCCUUCUGGACAGAUAUCUUACAUUUUGAAUGACUUUCAUUAAAACUGAUGGAAAAGUGAUUUUUUUUUUUUAAUCUAGAGGCAGUUUUCAAAGUCCUUUAUUUUCUGAUGAUUUCACAUUACUCAGCCAUGGGAAAUAUUUCCAUGAGGUGGAUGGAGAGAAAGAAAGGAGGCAGUUCCUAAUUUUUAUUUCUGUGAUUUUUGUUGUUGUUGUUGCAGUGGGUCACAUGAGCAGGCCACCCAUUUGUUUCCAUUAAAAGAAUUUACCAAACUUUUGACGUUAACUGAAUUCACAAUACCUUCUGCUCUAUUGUAGUUGCUUCUGUAGCAAUGGAAGAUGAUACAACAAAUAAUUUAUUAUUUCAAAUGAGUCGUGGAAUCAUAGGCUUGUGUUGGAAGGGACCUUAAAGAUCAUCUGGUUCCUACUCCCAACUGAAUGAAGGAAGGAAGCAAAUAAGCAGCUAGAAUUGGCUUUAUUUCUUCAUAAUUUAUUAUUUUCUACUGAUCCAGAAAAGCAUUAAGGGGAGCACGACCCAGGUGUUAAACAGAGGACAGAAUCAGCAAUGUGUACCAGAGAUGAACUGAUAACCAGGUUCUUCACUGUCUGCUCAGAUGUGAUUCCUUCUACACCAUUUUUCCUCCCUUUCCUAGUUUGAGCAUGCUCCCUGGUCACGACAGAGCUUGGGGGAAAAAAAAAGAAUGAAAUCCCAAGAUUGGUUUAGAAAUCCGUAAGCCGUAAGGGAAAGGUUCAUUACAGUGUGGUGCCAGCUGCUCUGUCCCUCCUCGCAGCACUGAGGCAGUUGCAGGGCUGGGAUCGUGGCCCUUGGCUUUGUCUUGUAAUCCUUGCAAUCCCAUCAUGUGUCAAUGCUCUCAUCAUCUGAGUGAAGGUAAUUAGAACUGACGGGGUGAGAAAAGUUCCAUCUCUGUGGAAAAACUGCAGCACUCAAAAUUUGGUUUUCUUUGUUCCCCACUGGAACAAAAGAAACACUUAAAACUGCUCCUAGGGGAAAAUCCUGAAUUAGCCUAAUCUGUGUUUGAAAACCCUUAAUGAGUUUAAACCAGGUCUUGAAUCUGGGUUUUCUUCACUAAAGAAGGUCCUGAUACUCUGUUGGUUUGGGUAACAGAGGGUGGUCUUGCUGCAGCUUAAAGAAUGAUGAUUUCUGGAUUUUGUCACUGUGAAUAUACUCCUUUAUACAGAAAGAAAUUUUAAAUGUUUUUUAUCAAGAGAUGUUUGACCUCUCUCAAGUCAUUGCUUGAGACAGUUUCAAUUAAUAAAGAACAAAAUGCAUGCCAAA